CCUACGGGUGGCAGCAGUGGGGAAUAUUGCACAAUGGGGGAAACCCUGAUGCAGCGACGCCGCGUGAGUGAAGAAGUAUUUCGGUACGUAAAGCUCUAUCAGCAGGGAAGAAAAUGACGGUACCUGACUAAGAAGCCCCGGCUAACUACGUGACAGAAGCCGCGGUAAUACGGAGGGGGCAAGCGUUAGCCGGAUUUACUGGGUGUAAAGGGAGCGUAGACGGCAGCGCAAGUCUGGAGUGAAAUACCAUGGCUUAACCAUGGAACUGCUUUGGAAACUGUGCAGCUAGAGUGCAGGAGAGGUAAGCGGAAUUCCUAGUGUAGCGGUGAAAUGCGUAGAUAUUAGGAGGAACACCAGUGGCGAAGGCGGCUUACUGGACUGUAACUGACGUUGAGGCUCGAAAGCGUGGGGAGCAAACAGGAUUAGAUACCCCUGUAGUC
rnacentral:rRNA from 1 species